AUAGUCUCCAAAGAUGGGGCGAUUUGUGCUUGAACCUGAGCUUCUUCCCUAGAAAUGGCGAAGUGGGUUGUUUCAGGUGGCGAAGUUGGAGGUUGGUAACUCCGAUACUAACCCCACCUGCUGCGGCAGCGAGGGCGGCCAUGGAUGAAAAGAGUGAAAGGGGUAAUCCGAAACGGGGAAGGGGGAACGGGCAGGGAACAGAUACUGGCGUGGCG
rnacentral:misc_RNA from 1 species